rnacentral:rRNA from 1 species
UACGUAGGGUGCGAGCGUUAAUCGGAAUUACUGGGCGUAAAGCGUGCGCAGGCGGUUUUGUAAGCCAGAUGUGAAAUCCCCGGGCUUAACCUGGGAAUGGCAUUUGGGACUGCAAGGCUUGAGUGCGGCAGAGGAGACUGGAAUUCCUGGUGUAGCAGUGAAAUGCGUAGAUAUCAGGAGGAACACCGAUGGCGAAGGCAGGUCUCUGGGCUGACACUGACGCUCAUGCACGAAAGCGUGGGGGAGCAAACAGG